UUUUAGGCUGAUAAAAUCCCCAGUAGGGAGUAAUAUUUUAGGUGCUGUUUUAGGCUGAUAAAAUCCCCAGUAGGGAGUAAUAUUUUAGGUGCUGUUUUAGGCUGAUAAAAUCCCCAGUAGGGAGUAAUAUUUUAGGUGCUGUUUUAGGCUGAUAAAAUCCCCAGUAGGGAGUAAUAUUUUAGGUGCUGUUUUAGGCUGAUAAAAUCCCCAGUAGGGAGUAAUAUUUUAGGUGCUGUUUUAGGCUGAUAAAAUCCCCAGUAGGGAGUAAUAUUUUAGGUGCUGUUUUAGGCUGAUAAAAUCCCCAGUAGGGAGUAAUAUUUUAGGUGCUGUUUUAGGCUGAUAAAAUCCCCAGUAGGGAGUAAUAUUUUAGGUGCUGUUUUAGGCUGAUAAAAUCCCCAGUAGGGAGUAAUAUUUUAGGUGCUGUUUUAGGCUGAUAAAAUCCCCAGUAGGGAGUAAUAUUUUAGGUGCUGUUUUAGGCUGAUAAAAUCCCCAGUAGGGAGUAAUAUUUUAGGUGCUGUUUUAGGCUGAUAAAAUCCCCAGUAGGGAGUAAUAUUUUAGGUGCU